rnacentral:rRNA from 1 species
GACGAACGCUGGCGGCGUGCUUAACACAUGCAAGUCGAGCGAUGAAGUUUCUUCGGAAAUGGAUUAGCGUCGAACGGGUGAGGAACACGUGAAGAAUCUGCCCUCCACUUUGGGAUAACACAGGGAAACCUGUGCUAAUACCGAAUAUUGAAACAUAAGUGGCAUCACUGAGUCUUGAAAGAAUUUCGGUGGAGGAUGACUUCGCGGCCUAUCAGCUAGUUGGUGAGGUAAUGGCUCACCAAGGCAACGACGGGUAGCCGGCCUGAGAGGGCGACCGGCCACACUGGGACUGAGACACGGCCCAGACUCCUACGGGAGGCAGCAGUGGGGAAUAUUGGGCAAUGGAGGAAACUCUGACCCAGCGACGCCGCGUGCGGGAUGAAGGCCUUCGGGUUGUAAACCGCUGUCAGUAGGGAAGAAGCGAAAGUGACGGUACCUACAAAAGAAGCACCGGCUAACUAUGUGCCAGCCGCCGCUGUAA